rnacentral:rRNA from 1 species
UACGUAGGGGGCUAGCGUUGUCCGGAAUCAUUGGGCGUAAAGAGCGUGUAGGCGGCUCGGUAAGUCCGCUGUAAAAGUCAAAGGCUCAACCUUUGAAUGUCAGUGGAUACUGCCGGGCUAGAGUCCGGAAGAGGCGAGUGGAACUCCCUGGUGUAGCGGUGGAAUGCGCAGAUAUCAGGAAGAACACCAACGGCGAAGGCAGCUCGCUGGGACGGUACUGACGCUGAGACGCGAAAGCGUGGGGAGCGAACAGG